rnacentral:rRNA from 1 species
UACGUAGGGAGCAAGCGUUGUCCGGAAUCAUUGGGCGUAAAGCGCGCGUAGGUGGCCCCAUAAGUCCGCUGUGAAAGUCAAAGGCUCAACCUUUGAAAGCCGGUGGAUACUGUGGGACUAGAGUACGGAAGAGGCGAGUGGAAUUCCUGGUGUAGCGGUGAAAUGCGCAGAUAUCAGGAGGAACACCGGUGGCGAAGGCGGGUCUCUGGGCCGAUACUGACGCUGAGGAGCGAAAGCGUGGGGAGCAAACAGG